GCCCAUUUUGAUAGCUCAUUGAUGAUGCAAUUCCCUGCCAAAAUUGAAACACACAAUUAUAUUCUUUUCCUUUCCUGACGAUCGUCCGUUACCACUUAGCACGGACUUAUCCUAUCAUUCUCCGCUUCCCCUCUUCAUUAAAAUUCCAUAAAUUCAUUUUUUUACUAUGCUUUCACUACCUUCUCUAGGGUUUAUUUUACUCUGCUGGAUAAAAUGAUCAUUAAGAGGAUUGCAAAUUAUGUCUUCACCUUAAUUUAUAUAAGUUGAACAUUUAAAAUGAGUUACAUCUCCUUCCGUCCCAAUUUAUGUGAAGUUGUUACAAUUUGAGAAUCAAAUAAUUUUUUCUUUAACUAUAAUUUUCUUAAACUACUUAAAAAUAUUUUAAAUCAUUAGUUAUGUUGACUUGUAGUAUAUAUAUUUAUGGUUUGUCCAUCACAAUUUAUGUGAAAGUGUUAGUGUUACUAUUAGCGAGUCAAACCAUUUUUCUUUUGAUUAUAAUUUUCUCUAACUUCUAAUUUUUUUUUUUAAUCAUUUGCUACGUUGACUUGUUGCACUUUUCCUGAAAGUUUUAAAUAAGUAAGUUUUAUUUUAAAAUAUUUGAAGAAUUUAUACCCGAAUUCACGGUCAAAAUUAAGAGUUUUGACCGUCGCACUCCGAACACUUCACAUAAAUUGGAAGUAAGGGAGAGUAGUGAUGAGUGGUUCUCUGCUUAAAAUCUUUGAUCUGUCUAUGCUAAAUUGUCUAUUUGUUGAUCAUACAUGCAGCUAAUCUAUAAACUAAAUUUUGUUCAGUAAGUCCUGAAAUGGUUCUUUGCUUUUGGAAUUUUUGAAGAAGUUUUCUUUGACUUGGUUGUAGUACAUUCUGGCUAGAAUUGUGUAUUAACUUGCACAUUGAAGUAAGCGGGUUGUAGUUGAAGCAUAAAUGGGGGAUGAAAAGGAUGCUUUUUAUGUCGUUCGCGAUGGGAUGUUAUCUGGGUUUAUAAGAGCUUAAGCGAUCUGCAAGUGCUUCUCCGAUCUUGUGCGAGUACAAUGACAGGUAAUGUACAAGCAGAAGGGGAUGGUGUGCCCUUGAAUGUGAACCAUAGCUAUGACAGUGCUAUAGUUCCUCCACCAAUACGAGCAUCCAAUUUCGACUUGUCCUACCUGUACGAAUUUUUGGUGAACAGGGGACUUUUUGGGGGACUACCUCAUGAAGACCCCACUCUCCACAUCAAGAAUUUCUUGUCUGUUUGUGCCUUGCACAAUCAGCACAGCGUUUCUGAUGAUGCACUCAGGUUGAGACUCUUCCCGUUCUCCUUACAAGGGGAGGCUGCAACUUGGUUGGAUGAUCUCCCAGCACGAUCAAUUCACAAUUGGACUGAGCUUUUGGAGACCUUUUUGAGUGAAUUCUUCUCCCCAGGAAGGACGGUCGAGUUGAGGUUUGAUAUUUUGACCUUCAAACAGAAGCCACAUGAGGCUCUAGAGGAAGUAUGGGUGCGGUACAAAAAAUGUCUUAAAAGGUGUCCUCAACAUAAAUGCACAGAUGUGUUACUUCUAAAUACAUUCUACUUUGCUUUGAACAAAAAACAAUCAAUCUCUUGCGGAUAAUGUGGCCAAAGUAGCAAUCCUAAAAUUAACAUUUCCCCAUGCGAGUGCAAUAUUGGACAAAGUGGCUGAGCAAGCACAUGCAUGGAACACUAGCGGGAGUGAUAUCUCCUAUGGGUCCUCAAAUUCCACAAUCUCCCAAGAGAACGAAGCCCGAGACAAGACCUUAGCCCAACUUUCCACCCAAUUAACACUUUUGACUAAGCAAAUAGCGCACGGGCGGUGCCACCUUCGGCGAAGGGUGGUCAGGUGCACACCCUUCGUGGAAAACUACGCGGUGUACAUAGGUUAAAUGUUAGUUACAAUGACUAUAUAUUCAAUUUUGCACACCCUAAUACAAGUAAGAAGCAAUUUGCACACCCUUCACCAAAUUCCUAGCUCCGCCACUGAAAUAGCGUAGAUGAUGUAACACCUCAGACCUUUAACUUAAGCUUUGACCAUGAUUUUAGACUUAGAAGAUCAGAUAGAGAAUGUUGGAGUUGGAAUUUUGCUUCAGUUCAGCAGAUGGAAUUUUACGCCUAGAAUUACUGGCCGUAAUUUGAAUUACGGACCGUAAUUAUUAACUUGGUCACUGGUUUUGAUAUGGAAAAUUACGGUCAGGAAUUACGGACCGUAAUUGGAGAGGUGUUUAACUGGGCAUUCUGUUUUGAGACAUCAAAAAUUAUUGUCCAAGAAUUACGGACCGUAAUUUGAAUUACGGAUCGUAAUUCAGUUCGUAAAAGUCAAUACGCACCAGAACCUAUAAAUACCUGGUUUUAGUUCUAAUUUUUAUUUUUACAAGUCCCUAAACCCUAGAACGACCUGCUCUCCUCCUCCACCAUCAAGAACACUAAGGUAAGUUAUCCUAACCUAUCCCAAAUGGAUUAAAUCAUGUGUUCAUCUAACCUAAUUAGGGAAUCAUUGUUCUUAACCUAGGGUUUUCAAGAAAACCCAUAUUCAAGGUUUGAGACACAAGCUUUUGGGAUUCUUCUCAAGGAUUCAGACUUUUAUUGUGGAUUGUGAAGCAGCUAAGGCAACAAUAUACAGGUUGACGAUCUAGCUAGCUAGGACUUGCUCGUAUCAGCUAUUGGGCAAGGUGGUCAAUUACCGGAGCAAUAUAAUCAUGUUCAAGAGGAAGAUGCAAAUUAUGUGAGCAGCUAUCAAGGAGGGCCAAACCAACAAAGAACCAAUUACUAUGGUGGUCAGGAUCAAGAUCAGUGGAGACCAAUCCAACAGUGGAACUCAAAUCAAGGGUGGAACAACCAACAAAACAAUCACAGAUGGAAUGCUAACAACCAAGGGAAUAGGGGAGCUGGCUUUUCGCAGGCAUACAAUGGAUCAAGAGUUCCUUUGUGCCAACAAGGAAACCAACCUCCACCUUGUCAUAAUCAAGAUCAACAAGCCAGUUUAUUCAAGGAUAAUUAUGAACAAGCCAAGGAGGCUACAGAUUUUUUGCAACCAGGUUCUUCCAAUUAUAAACCUAUUGGGGAGAAUUUUCUGGAAAAGAGGAUGCAGAGAGGUUUACCAUGUACAUUGUCUUCCUCCAGUUAGAUGUGGUUGCAUCAGCUUCUUUUUCAGCGCUGCUCAGCAAAAGCAUACCAAAUUAGACAAUUUCCUUGAAGAUCCCCCACUAUCUACUAAAUGCUUAUCCCACAUGCAGCUUCAUGCACUCUUGAAUUUUGAUGGUGCUUCAAAGGGAAACCCUGGACUAGCUGGUGCAGGUGCUGUUCUGCAAGCUGCAGAUGGAAGUUUGGGCGUUGCAACUAAUAAUGUUGCUGAAUACAGAGGUGUAAUCUUAGGGCUGAAAUAUGCGCUUGAGAAAGGUUUUAAACACAUACGAGUUCAAGGGGGCUCAAAACUUGUCUGCAUGCAGGUCAUACACAGGGAAUCUGGAAAACUGAAAACCAAAACAUGGCGGAAUUGUCCAAGAUCGUCAAAGAGCUUAAAGAUCAGUUUAUGUCUUUCUUUAGCCAUGUAGAAUGGAAUUCAACACCGAAGCUGAUGCCCAGGCAAAUCUGGCGGUGUAUCUUAAGAAUGGUUACUCAAGUAGAAUGUGACACGAAGUAGCUUUACUGUGAAGAUGAACCACUUGAAGCUUUUGGGAUUUUGGAGGGCAAAUGCUGCCAGAGAAAGCCAUACGAGUUCUAAUGGUGUGGGUAUUUUAUUUCUCCUAACAGAUACUAUAUGAUUUACUCUCUCUGUCCCAUAAUAAGUGUCACCUUAGCCAAAUUUUUUUGUCCCAUAAUAGGUGUCACCUUAGGAACCAAGACAUAAAUUAAUUAGUUUUUUUCAAUUCUACUCUUAGACAAUAAAGUAACACCUAAAUGAUGAUUGAAAAAGGCACAUAGUAAUUUGAUAUUGUUGGAUUCUCAAUGUCAAAGAUUUACUUUUUGUGCAUGCUCUAAUCAAAAGGUAAAAGCAAUUUAUUUUUAUUAUAUAAGGGUAAUUUCGUAAACUUCACAUUGCAUUAUUGGUUUCUUAAUAUGCGUGUUUUUGGCUAAGGUGACACUUAUUAUGGGACGGAGGGAGUAGAUGAUGUGCAUGUAUUAACCUAAUUAUGAAUCUGGAUUAGCUAACUUAUGUCUGGCUUUACACAAGCCAACCACUUUCUGUAGCUUUAAAAUUGUGCAGACUGAAGUAAUAUGAGGUCUAUCAUCAUGGUUCAGUACUAAACUCUUCAUUUGAUGGGUUAUUGAGGGUUGACCUUAAAGUUGGAUCAACUUAGAUACUGGAUGAGCAAUUUUGUAGAGGUUCCUUGACUUUAAUCUUUUUUAUUGGGUACAUCCGGAUGUAAUUAGUUUGUAACUUAAUCAAUCAGCUGUGUUCCACUUGGCAUUUUUUCGCAAGCUUGUCAAGAUUUUAUGCACGGCAACUAGGAAUUGCUUCUUUUUCUAAUCCUCGGUCCAUGUAAUUGAAUAUAUACAUUAGUAGGGACUAGGGGUGUCAAUGGUUCGGUUCGGUCGGCUUUUUGCAAAAAUUUAUAUCAUAUCAAUUUUUCGGUUACUCUACUAUAUAUAAUCAAAAUUAAACUUUUGAAAAC